CCUACUGCUAUCGGGGUGGGACUAAAACAUGCGAGUCGAACGACUUCUAGCCAUGAUGAAGUCGUGGCGAACGGCUCAGUAACACGUGGCUAACCUACCCUUAAGACGGGUACAACCCCGGGAAACUGGGGCUAAUCCCCGAUAGAUGAAAACUCCUGGAAUGGGUUUUCGUCCAAAAGGCAUCGAGAUCAUGCUUCUCGGUUUCGCUCAAGGAUGGGGCCGCGGCCGAUCAGGCUGUUGGUGAGGUAACGGCUCACCAAACCUAUAACCGGUACGGGCCGUGGGAGCGGGAGCCCGGAGAUGGGAACUGAGACAAGGUCCCAGGCCCUACGGGGCGCAGCAGUUGCGAAAACUCCGCAAUGCACGAAAGUGUGACGGGGCUACCCCGAGUGCUGUCCGCUGAGGAUGGCUUUUCCCUGGUGUAAGGAGCCGGGGGAAUAAGGAGAGGGCAAGUCUGGUGUCAGCCGCCGCGGUAAUACCAGCUCUCCGAGUGGUAGGGAUGUUUAUUGGGCUUAAAGCGUCCGUAGCUGGCUUUUCAAGUCUCUCGUUAAAUCCAGCGAUUCAAUCGUUGGGCUGCGGGGGAUACUGUUGGGCUGGGGGGCGGGAGAAGCCGACGGUAUUUCCGGUGUAGGGGUAAAAUCCUAUAAUCCCGGGAGGACCACCAGUGGCGUAGGCGGUCGGCUAGCACGCGCUCGACGGUGAGGGACGAAAGCUGGGGUAGCAAACCGGAUUAGAUACCCGGAUAGUCCCAGCUGUAAACGAUGCGGGCUAGGUGUUGGAGCGGCCACGAGCCGCUUCAGUGCCGCAGGGAAGCCAUUAAGCCCGCCGCCUGGGGAGUACGGCCGCAAGGCUGAAACUUAA
rnacentral:rRNA from 1 species